AUGGGGGCAUUGUGGGGGGACUACCUGGGUGAGGGGCACCUGGGUGCAGGGGAGGCUGCUGGGAGUGGGGGGCUACCUGGGUGGGGGCACCUGGGCGCAGGGGAGGCCGCUGGGAUUAGAGGGGGACUACCUGGGUGGGGGCACCUGGGCUCAGGAGAGGCCGCUGGGAGUGGGGGGAGGCUACCUGAGUGGGGGGCACCUGGGCUCAGGAGAGGCUGCUGGGAGCUGGGGGACUACCUGGGUGGGGGGCACCUGGGCUCAGGAGAGGCCGCUGGGAGUGGGGGGGACUACCUGGGUGGGGGGCACCUGGGCGCAGGAGAGGCUGCUGGGAGUGGGGGGCUACCUGGGUGGGGGCAUCUGGGCGCAGGGGAGGCCGCUGGGAGUGGGGGAGGCUACCUGAGUGGGGGGCACCUGGGCUCAGGAGAGGCUGCUGGGAGCGGGGGGACUACCUGGGUGGGGGGCACCUGGGUUCAGGAGAGGCCGCUGGGAGUGGGGGGCUACCUGGGUGGGGGCACCUGGGCGCAGGAGAGGCCGCUGGGAGCAGGGGACUACCUGGGUGGGGGGCACCUGGGUUCAGGAGAGGCCGCUGGGAGUGGGGGGGGCUACCUGGGUGGGGGGCACCUGGGCGGGGGGCACCUGGGCGCAGGGGAGGCCGCUGGGAGCGGGGGGCUACCUGGGUGGGGGCACCUGGGCGCAGGGGAGGCCGCUGGGAAUGGCAGGGGGCUACCUGGGUGGGGGCACCUGGGCGCAGGAGAGGCCGCUGGUAGUGGGGGGGACUACCUGGGUGGGGGCACCUGGGCGCAGGGCAGGCGGAAGCCCGCUGGCCGGCAGGUCGCGGGGCGGGGGCCCCGCCUUUGUCUCCGCCGGCAGGUGUGGGUGCGGGCGGCGGGGGCACCGAAGCGCGGGGCGUGGAGGGGGCGUGGAGGGGGCGUGGAGGGGGCAGCCCGGGCGGGGCGGCGGGGGCCCACCUGGCAGCCUGGGUCCAGGAGGCCGGGCGCCGCCUCCCGCGGUGCGGGUCGGGGUCGGGGUGCGGGUCGGGGUGCGGGUCGGGGCCGGGUCGGGGGGGUUGCCGGGGGGCAGGAAGCGGCGGCCGGGCUGCGGGCCCCGGGGGCGCGGCGGCUUCCUCCCGGGCGGCGCGGAGGGCUCGGGGGCCGGAGCUCCGGGCCGGGCCCCCCCGCCCCCGCCCCCGCCCCCGCCCCGGACUCCUCACCACCCACCUACUUCCUCCGGCCCCGUACACGCGCCGCGCCGAGCUGCCAAAACUUUCCACCCCCGCCCCCUCCCCGGCUGACUUCCUUCCAGCGUUUCCUGAGCUGGAUGAUCCUCGGGUUUGUAAGACAGGAAAAAAGGGACGGCGCGAGGGCGGGCGGCCGAGGGGCCGGGAUGCUGGCUCCGCGCGCGCCCCGAGCCGUCUGA
rnacentral:lncRNA from 1 species